rnacentral:rRNA from 1 species
UACGGGGGGGGCAAGCGUUGUUCGGAAUUACUGGGCGUCAAGGGUUCGUAGGUGGCUCGCUAAGUCAGACGUGAAAUCCCUCAGCUUAACUGGGGAACUGCGUCUGAGACUGGCAAGCUCGAGUGCAGGAGAGGAACGCGGAAUUCCAGGUGUAGCGGUGAAAUGCGUAGAUAUCUGGAGGAACACCGGUGGCGAAGGCGGCGUUCUGGACUGCAACUGACACUGAUGAACGAAAGCCAGGGGAGCAAACGGG